GACGAACGCUGGCGGCGUGCUUAACACAUGCAAGUCGAGCGGUAAGGCCCUUUCGGGGGUACACGAGCGGCGAACGGGUGAGUAACACGUGGGUGACCUGCCCUCAGCUCUGGGAUAAGCCUGGGAAACCGGGUCUAAUACCGGAUAUGACUCCAUGACGCAUGUUGUGGGGUGGAAAGCCUUGUGCGGCUGAGGAUGGGCCCGCGGCCUAUCAGCUUGUUGGUGGGGUGAUGGCCUACCAAGGCGACGACGGGUAGCCGGCCUGAGAGGGCGACCGGCCACACUGGGACUGAGACACGGCCCAGACUCCUACGGGAGGCAGCAGUGGGGAAUCUUGCGCAAUGGGCGAAAGCCCUGACGCAGCGACGCCGCGUGAGGGAUGACGGCCUGGUGUAACGUACUUC
rnacentral:rRNA from 1 species